GCUGGAGUGGCGGAAUUGGUAUACGCGCUAGCCUUAGGAGCUAGUGCCCGCAAGGGCUUAAGAGUUCAAGUCUCUUCUCCAGCA
rnacentral:tRNA from 1 species